rnacentral:lncRNA from 1 species
GAUGGAUAAAGAGAUAGCGGCUACACCAAGCAAUAAUUUAGUUGAAGAUUCGAGGUCAAAUCGUGAUUCCCGGUAGGAGGGUUACGGAGGAUCGUUUAUCAAACUCUCUGUUGCAACAUAUAUAAGCAAAAUGAGGUGCCCGUGUGUUCACUGUUCUUGAGAGCACAUUGGAAGCGUGCGCAAGUGAAUCGGAAUAAUUGUUUGUUUCUAGUGAUUACGAUGUUUUGCAAAGUUAUAUUUUUAAUUGCGAUGUUGACGAUAGCCGCAGCAAAUCCGGUGCCUGGGUCACCUUUCGAAGGUUUUCGCUACAAUCGGACUCAAAUUUCAGUCAUAGCAUUGGAGGAGCCAUGUGUGAAGCAAGGCGGUAUAUGUGUGCUAUCAGA